AUUUUUGUUUAUUAUUUUAUGUAAUUUAUAAAUAUAUAAAAAAAUCACAUUAUUACUUUUUCAUAGUUUCAACAAUUAGUUACCAUAAAUAAUCAUUUCUAAUAUUAUGUAGAUUAUUUGGAAAGUGGUAAUUGAAUUAUCUUUUCCUUUUAGAUAUAAUUAUAAUAAAUACAAUUAUAAAUCAUCGGUCAAUCAAAUUAUAACAAUUUGAAGAGUUCAUCUGUGAUCAACACAUAAUAAAAACUCACUUAUGUGUCUUCUCAAUUAAUAUAUAGUAAGAUUUAUAUUUUUAUAAAUAAUUUAUAACAUUAUAAAAAUAAUUUUAUAAUUCUGAUAAAUGUAUCCUGUAAACAACGAUAAAUAAUUUAAAAAUCAUAUUAAUAGACAUUUUUGGAUUUUGUAAUAUUUAAAAUAGUUAUUAUAUAAUUAUAUUCAAAUACAAUUCAUCAAGUAAAGUAUAAAACUAUUAUAAUUAUCUUAUAUAAAAAUUUGUUUAUUAUAUUUUAUAAUUUAUAAAUAUUAAAAGUAAUAAAUAAAACAUUAUUAAUCUUUCUAUAAUUUCUAGAAUUAGUUGACGUAAAUGGUUAUUUGUAAUAUUCCUUAGAUUAUAUGGCAAGUGAUGUUAAAUAUUUUUAGACUUACCUUAAAUUUUUAGAUCUAAUUUAAAUAAAUAAAAAUUAAAAACAAUCGACCAAUCAAAUUAUAACAAUUUUUUGAAACUUCACCUAUGAGCGACACGUCACCAGAAAUCACUAAAGUGACUUCUCAUUUAAUAUAUAGAGGGAUUAAAAUACACUAUCCGCGCGUAGCGUGGAAAAAGUCUCUAUUUAUUUUCCGGCGCUACGCACCGUGUUUGUAUGUUUUAUUUUAAUGAUUUUAAAAUUAAUUUUAUGUUCUUAAUAAAUAAAUUACUUUUAAAUAUAUGAAGAUGAUAAUAUGUUGAAAUAGAAUGGUAAUUGUUUUGAGGGAAAAUUGCCAAAAAUACAAUUUUAAAAGUACCAUUUUUCAUGCUUACACUAACCCUUUUUAUUUUCAUCUUUAAUGAAGGGUAAAAGACAUUUAUAACCUUUUGAUUAACUUUGACAAAAAACAUAUGGUUAACUAAUCUAAACUUAAAACAUAAACUCUAAAUCCUAAACCAACAAACAUCAACUCUAAACCCUAAAUCCCAAAACAUCAACUCUAAACCGUAAACCUUCAAAUCUAAACCCUAAAACAUCAAGUCUAAACCUUAAACCCUAAAUGUAAACUUAAAACAUCAACUGUAAACCCUAAAUCAUCAACUCUAAACCAUGAAACAUCAACUCUAAACCCUAAACCUCGAAACAUCAACUAUAAACCCUAAACCCUAAACUUUCAAAUCUAAACAUCAACUCUAAACCCUAAACGUAAACCCUACACCCUACACCCUAUAUUUUUCUGAAAUUCGAACCCUAAACCCUAAAACCCUAAACCUUCAAAUCUAAACCCUAAACCAUCAACUCUAAACCCUAAACAUAAACCCUAAACCCUAAAACCUUAAAACCCUAAACCUUCAAAUCUAAACCCUAAAACAUCAACUCUAGGGUUUUAGGGUUUAGGGUUUAGAGUUGAAGGUUUAGGGUUUAGGGUUUAGAGUUGAUGUUUUAGGGGUUUAGGGUUCGUAUUUAAAAAAGGUUUAGGAUUGAUGGUUUAGGGUUUAGAGUUGUGUUUUAGGGUUAGGGUUUGAAUUUUGGAAAUAGUAUAAUUUGAAAAAAAAUUAAAAAAAUUAUUUUUUAGAUUUUUAUUUAUUUAAAUAUUUAUUUAUUAUAUAUAUAAAGAACAAAUGCAUAAGAGUCUUUUGCCACCUAAUGAAAAAGAUAUUUUUGAAAAUUUCGUUUUAGUGGUGGUAAAAAUAAAAAGUGGUAGCAUGAAAGUGGUAAACAUGUAAUUUGCCCUUGUUUUGAUUCAUUUGAUAGAAGUGUAUUAUUUUGUUUUGAACUUUCUUUGGUCCAAGAGGAAUAACAUAAGUAGUUUUAAUUUUUUGUAUUUUGUUUUAUAUUAUUAAAUUUGAUUAUAUUAAAAUAUCACUAUUUAAUUUUGGUUAGAUUUAAAAUGUAUUAUUUAUAUUAUUUAAAUAUAUUUAAUCAGAUAUUAUUAUAACAAAAAUUUAAAAAUUUCAGUUAUAUUUUAAAAUGUGCUGCUUGGUGAUCUCUCUUUAUUCAGGUGCUGAAGAAAUUUUUAGAUUUGAUUAGUAUAAACAUUUAUCCUCUCAUGUCUCUAAAUAAAAUCAAUUAGUAUUUUAAAUCAACCAACCUCUAUUUAUAUAAUGAAAAAUUAUUUUCUCAUUAAUUAUAUUUUAAUUAAAUAGGCAACCAAAAUUUAUAAACUUUAAAACGAAAUUUUGAAUAAAUGUUAAUUGUUAAAUACAAAUGAAAGUAAAGUUUAGUUGUUUCAAAUAAGUUAUGGUGGGACAUUCCAAUUUCUAAAAUAGUUAAAUAUUUGUUUUUUUUUUCUUGGGACACUGAUUUUUUAGAUUUUUUUCUUGUUCCAUAAAGAUAGUUUUUCUAUAUUGUUAAGGUAAUUUGUUUUUAUACCUUUG